AAGGAUCAUUGUCGAAAACUGC
rnacentral:rRNA from 1 species